CCUACGGGAGACAGCAGUAGGGAAUUUUCGUCAAUGGGCGCAAGCCUGAACGAGCGAUGCCGCGUGAGUGAAGAAGGCCUUCUGGUCUUAAAGCUCUGUUUCGGGGGAAAAAAGGCAGCAUCAGUAUAUGGGUGCUAACUGAUGGUGCCCCUCCAGAAAGUCACGGCUAACUACGUGCCAGCAGCCGCGGUAAUACGUAGGUGGCGAGCGUUAUCCGGAAUGUUUGGGCGUAAAGGGUGCGCAGGCGGUCCUGCAAGUCUGGAGUGAAACGCAUGAGCUCAACUCAUGCAUGGCCUUGGAAACUGGAGGACUAGAGAGCAGGCGAGGGAGGCGGAAGUCAAGGUGUAGCGGUAAAAUGCGUAGAUAUAUGGAAGAACACCAGUGGCGAAGGCGGCCGACUGGCCUGUUGCUGACGCUGAGGCACGAAAGCGUGGGGAGCAAACAGGAUUAGAUACCCGGGUAGUC
rnacentral:rRNA from 1 species